UACGGAGGGUGCAAGCGUUAAUCGGAAUUACUGGGCGUAAAGCGCACGCAGGCGGUUGGUUAAGUUGGAUGUGAAAGCCCCGGGCUCAACCUGGGAAUUGCAGUUAAAACGGGCCGGCUAGAGUCUUGUAGGGGGGGGUAGAAUUCCAGGUGUAGCGGUGAAAUGCGUAGAGAUCAGGAGGAAUACCGGUGGCGAAGGCGGCCCCCUGGACAAAGACUGACGCUCAGGUGCGAAAGCGUGGGGAGCAAACAGG
rnacentral:rRNA from 1 species